UGGAGAGUUUGAUCCUGGCUCAGAUUGAACGCUCGCGGCAGGCCUAACACAUGCAAGUCGAGCGGAUGAAGAGAGCUUGCUCUCUGAUUCAGCGGCGGACGGGUGAGUAAUGCCUAGGAAUCUGCCUGGUAGUGGGGGACAACGUUUCGAAAGGAACGCUAAUACCGCAUACGUCCUACGGGAGAAAGCAGGGGACCUUCGGGCCUUGCGCUAUCAGAUGAGCCUAGGUCGGAUUAGCUAGUUGGUGAGGUAAUGGCUCACCAAGGCGACGAUCCGUAACUGGUCUGAGAGGAUGAUCAGUCACACUGGAACUGAGACACGGUCCAGACUCCUACGGGAGGCAGCAGUGGGGAAUAUUGGACAAUGGGCGAAAGCCUGAUCCAGCCAUGCCGCGUGUGUGAAGAAGGUCUUCGGAUUGUAAAGCACUUUAAGUUGGGAGGAAGGGCAUUAACCUAAUACGUUAGUGUUUUGACGUUACCGACAGAAUAAGCGCCGGCUAACUACGUGCCAGCAGCCGCGGUA
rnacentral:rRNA from 1 species